CCUGACUGCUAUCGGAUUGAUACUAAGCCAUGCGAGUCAUUGUAGUAAUACAAGGCAGAUGGCUCAGUAACGCGUAGUCAACCUACCCUAUGGACGGGGAUAACCUCGGGAAACUGAGAAUAAUACCCGAUAGAACAUUAUGCCUGGAAUGGUUUAUGUUUCAAAUAAUUUAUUGCCGUAGGAUGGGACUGCGGCCUAUCAGUUUGUUGGUGAGGUAAUGGCCCACCAAGACUAUUACAGGUACGGGCUCUGAGAGGAGUAGCCCGGAGAUGGGUACUGAGACACGGACCCAGGCCCUAUGGGGCGCAGCAGGCGAGAAAACUUUGCAAUGUGCGAAAGCACGACAAGGUUAAUCCGAGUGGUUUCUGCUAAAGGAACCUUUUGUCAGUCCUAGAAACACUGAUGAAUAAGGGGUGGGCAAGUUCUGGUGUCAGCCGCCGCGGUAAAACCAGCACCUCAAGUGGUCAGGAUGAUUAUUGGGCCUAAAGCAUCCGUAGCCUGCUUUGUUAGUUUUCGGUUAAAUCCAUACGCUCAACGUAUGGGCUGCCGGGAAUACUGCAAAGCUAGGGAGUGGGAGAGGUAGACGGUACUCGGUAGGAAGGGGUAAAAUCCUUUGAUCUAUUGAUGACCACCUGUGGCGAAGGCGGUCUACCAGAACACGUCCGACGGUGAGGGAUGAAAGCUGGGGGAGCAAACCGGAUUAGAUACCCGGGUAGUCCCAGCUGUAAACUAUGCAAACUCAGUGAUGCAUUGGCUUGAUGCCAAUGCAGUGCUGCAGGGAAGCCGUUAAGUUUGCCGCCUGGGAAGUACGUACGCAAGUAUGAAACUUAAAGGAAUUGGCGGGGGAGCACCACAAGGGGUGAAGCCUGCGGUUC
rnacentral:rRNA from 1 species